GAGAGCUCAAUGAACUUGUGUGUACCGACACCUGCUUGCUCACUAGACUCCAGGUUGAUAGAAAGAGAGAAGGGCUGAGGGCAGGGGUUAGAGAAUCGUCAACUUCCUAAUUGAACACUCGAUCUGAAUUGGCAAUGCUUCAGGGACAUGGUUGCUGGUCUCUGUUCCUCGCCAGGAGCAAGCAGGUGCUGAAUAAGUCAUCUUGGUGCUUGUGCUGCAGGAAGUCUUGUGAACAGGAAAAAGAGAAGACUCACAUUUGUUACUGUCUUGGCAGCUAAAAGGGGGCCACGGAUGCUGAUCACAGAUUCAGGAAGAAAGGGAGUGGGCUCAGGGAGAGGCCUUGAAGUCACAGGUGAAACGCUGGGGUCUGAUCCCAAGCCACAAAUAAAAGCUGGAAUUGAUUUAAUGGAAUUCCACCCAUUUAUUCAGCAGAUAACAACUGGACAGCAGAAGCGGCCAGGCCCUAAGAGAGCUGUGGGGGUACAGCCAUGAGUGGGAUUCCUCUCGUCUCCCACAAGCAGAGAGCCAUGUGCUCAAGGAGUGAACGCUGAAGGAGCCCAUAAAAGAGACGAUCUGCCGUGACUGGUGCACAGACGGCUGCCUUGUCUGACUUCUCAGCCCUACCCCAAAUCAGGUUCAGCGGACUCUUGACUCCCCCACCGCCACCAAGAAGAGAGGGCAGCGGGGUGUCCUUGUGCCAGCCCACGCAGGCCUGCUUGCUUUGUUUCUCAUUCAGAGCCACGCUGGCCAUUUCAGACACAGCCAACCCAGGAGCUUAGACCAGAGGCAGCUGCUGCAGGCAUGGGCCUGGCAGCAGGAAGGCCAGUGGGCGGGCAGACAGGCAGCAAGAGAACACUCGAGAAUUAACCUGCGCAGGGCCGGGUCUCCUCAGAGGAUCACGGACAUCCCUACUCCCGCCUUUUGACGACCGAGACAUGGCUCGGGAGCCCAAGCCUGGUCCUGCCCGGCCGGGCCAGAAGAGGCCCUGGGGCACAGCCAUCUCCUGGUGAGUCUGUUGGGGUUGCCUGCCGGGGAGGGAGUCUGAUCACCAGCUUGACUGGGGCGCUGAGCCCCCCAGGAUGGAACGCGGACCGCAGGAGGCUUGUUCAGUGCCUGACAACUAGCCAGGCAGGCUGCCCGUCCUACUCACUGUGGCACCAAAGGAGAUCCUGUCUGCCUUGGCCACUGGUUUUGUCUGGAAACUGGGUGGGAGGGGUGUCAACCCAGCUCCUUCCAAGGCCCCUUCGAGCUGACAUAACCCAGCUAGCAUCCUGCUGGUGGGGCCCUCUUCUCUCGCCUGGACGCAGGAGUGUGGCUCCUCCAAAGGGAGCCUUGCCUGUGGGAUGCUUGGGGGCUUUUUCUGGGUAUCGAUGUUUGGGAGCAGAAAAUGGGAACCUUUCAGGAGGAAAUCCUCCCUCUAACUUGGGACACUUCAAGGCAUUUUAAAGAAACCUUUAAACAUCUUCAGAAAGGUACUCACCAAACUGCCCGCCAACGUGCCAUUUUCACAGGCCUAACGAGGGUGUGUGCGAACCCAGUGGUUGCUUCGCCCUCCGCUGGGUGUUUGUGGGGGCCGCGCUCGGCUCCUGGCCCAGCUGUGGGUAUUUGAGUGGUUUCUGCCUUGCCGGUGGGGGAGGCGGGAGGCAGCGGGACAGGUGGUUGCAGUUAGGGACAGCAUUGUGUAAACGCCCUGGUGCCGAAGAAGGUUCUGGUUCCUCUGGGGUCUCAUCUCCUCAGAAGUGGGAUGCAGGGCUGGGCGGGGGCUGCCCUGAGGAGCCUCUGCACCUCCAGGUUGACCUCGAGAGAGAUUUGGCCAAAUCUCGCGCUGCCUGCGGCAGCCCGAGGGUCUGCGUCACCUUUAGGGGGGUGGACUCCUUGUUCACUGCGUUUGCUUUGGGCUGAGGAGGAGGUGCGCGCUCGUGGGUGAGCUCAGUUUUUUAAACUUGGGUUUCUUCAGUGAUGCAGACGUGCGCACGCGGUGUGCUGUGGGGGGCUCUCAUCGGGGGGUUGCUAGGGUUUUGUAAACAGCUGUUUGACGGGAGGUAAGUGGUUCCUUCCCUUCAUCCUAUCCUGCGUUUUCUCCCACGGCCGUUUUGAGGCUGGGUUAACCCUUCCUCAGUGUGGUUCCAGGUGCCGCCUUCAGAGUUCAUGCCCCCCGCCCCCUUGCCUAGCAGGCUCGGACCCAGUCCUGCAGGUGCAGGUGGGGGAACAGGGAAGCAGUGGGGAGUAAUGACAACUGUCCUGCAGGAACGCAGACUCCAUCCAGAGGGGUGCCUGGCGUUCCAGAGGGGUGCCUGGCGUUCCAGGCCUGGGGCAGGGGUGGAUUCCUUAGGACCCCUGUGUCCCUGGAGGACACCAGUGAGGAGAAUGAAGCCCUUCCCCAGGGCUGGACAGCAUGUCUGAGGCAGCAGGCUAUUGCUGUGGCUCUGGCCCCUUGGGAGCGUGUCCCAAAGAGAAGUAGUUUGGGGGUGGGGUCCUGGUGGCCCCUGCAUUGCUGGAUGACUUCUCCAUGAGAAAUGGUCAAGUCCAGGCCAUGUGCCUUGCUGGUGGGAGGGGCGAGGAACAGCAGGGAUGCCCCCAAGCGGGGAGGGACCCCUCUACCUGCAGCAAGCUGUGGUAGCAAAUACAGCCUAACACCUAACCCCCAAACUCAUCCUGCUUCUGUCUCAACUCAGGCAGCUCCUGAGUCUAUUCUCAGCCCUCAGUGAAUGACCAUUCCUUUACCAUUAAUUUCUGGGUAUUUUUAAAAGACAAAUUACAAACAAAACAAAACAAAAAUGAGUGAGGAAAAAAGACCCGAAUCUGCCUCCUCCAUUGGCUGGGAAUCAAAGCCAGGCCUCCCGUGUGGCAGGUGAGAUUUCUAGCACCAAGCCGCCCGUGCUGCAGUGGGAUAGAGGUUGUUGAGGCAGCCCAGGUGGUCGCUACUGACCUCCCCACCCCUCCCAUGAGCUGUGUCGGAUCUCUGCUGAGGUUUUGGUCCAGGAGCGGAGAGGGGACCCUGGCAAGCCCAAGGGGGCCUCAACAAGAGUUUUCCCCAAGUGGUUCAUGCCCAGCUGAGACUUGUCACCUUGAGUUCUGUCCUGGCCCCCCAGCCUUCCCGGCCUGGCUGUUCCGAUUGCUCAGGGAGCUGUUUCCUGCAUCACGAUCCGGGUCCCAGAUGCCGACCCUGAAGCUCGGAAGGUCCGGGUACCUGCCCUCCCACGCUCUGCUGGCUCACUUUCUUUUCUCCAAGGACGGGCCUCCCACCACCGGAAUCAGCAUCCCUGCCGCUCCCGGCUGCCCACCCAGACUUCCUGAGGCCAGAAAUCAGAGCGGGGGUGGCUGGAAAUCUCAUCCACAGGCCUGGAGACCUCACAGGAUGAAGGCAAAGGGGCCCCUGAAUGUCCUCUAUUCCACCUCAGGGGCCUCUGCAGGGCUUGAGGGCUGGGCUUGGGUGUGUGUUUGGGGUGGGGAGUAGGACUUGGACACACAGUACCAGAAUGUCAUUUCAGAAACUUUGCUGCCCCCGGCUUGCAGCCCCUCACGUCCCCCUCAACUCCUCACUCGCCCCAGACCAAGCCUCAGGCUGAACCUAAACUUGCAGCUGUGUUCCCACAGGUCCUUCCUGCCUAGGCUGGACCCAGUCUGCCCUUGCACCCAUCUCCAUUACCCCUUGGGCACCAAUUCUCUUGGAGGUGCACGGUGCUGAGAGCUGGGGUGAGGGCAGGCAGUGGCAGCCUGGGAACUGGAGCCAAGGGGAAGGUGGCCUGGCCGGCCCUGCCAGUGCUGGGCUCUGCAUCCUGGCCAUUCCUACGCAAGGAUUAAAGGCUCUCACACCUGCUUUGUGACUUUGGGCCCUGAUUUAACUCUUCCCUUUCAUCCUUUGCCAGACUAAGAACCAGAAUAAGCCCAGCAAUGCUUGGGUCAGGCAGGGAAGCCUUUGGAGAGCCCAGAUCUGGCUAUGUAGAAACCCGUGGGCAACUGCCCCCUCUUGCCACUCAGAAGAUGCCCCGUCAGAGGCCAGCUAUAGGAAGCUGGCUUGUUGUGGCCUCCUAAAGUGACCUGGGUCAAGUCCCUAGGAGCACUUCUGGUGGAGACCCCUGGGAUUCUAAGAAAAAGCUGCAUACCUCAGUUUCUCCAUAUAAGCUGGAAUCUGGGCGAGGAUUCCGGUCCUGGACAGUGACCCUUCCCCCAUUUUUCUCUACUGCAACAGCUACUACGAUCUGGAUUACGAGCUGUACAGGGAAGAAUUCCCCUACAGGGUGUGUGACUACCAAAGGAUCCCUCCACUAAUCAACCGUGCACCUACCAAGAUCCGGGGGACCCACGUGGGCCCGGGGGUCAAGCACAGCUUUAGUCCCCACAAGACUCCCAGGACUAGUCAACUGCCUGCAGGGCAGAUAAAGCUCCAGACUGAGGAGCUGCACUCCAUCAGAGGAGAGCUGAGCCAGAUCAAAGCCCAGGUGGAUCACCUGCUGGAGACUGUGGACCGCAUGGACCAGCAGAUGGACCAGCUUCCAGGGACGGAGGACUGCGAACAGAACCAGAGCUCCAGGAGUAAGGGUCCCUCAUACAGAACCGUAGAACCUCAUCAGGAGCCUACAGGCCAGUGGACCCAUCCAGAGGCAGACAGCUCCCCGAUCACAGACCCAGAAGACCCCAAGGAGGCAGUAAAGAAUCACGCAUCAGACCAGGAGGGCAGCCAGUAGAAGGCUGGAACUCCCCCAGUCUCAUCAGCUCCAGGCACUUUCUUCGGCGGUUCCUAUCCCCUGCCUUGAGUAGCACCCACGCUGGAGCAAGCGCAAAGAAGUGGAGGCAUGGCUCAGCCAGUCCAGCUGGGAAGCCUCCCCCCAGUGCUGACUUUAGCUUGAGGAUCAUGUUUCCAGAUGACCAUCUGGGGGCUAGCGGGGAAGGAAGGAGCCCUCCAAGUGCCCAGCACCAGCUCACCAUUCUCAUAAAGUUGAGGCCACUCCUGUUAAGAGGCAGCUGGAAAGGGCCCCCCUGGGAGCACCACCAGCCCUCUGACUACAGGUACCUCCCUAGCUGCUUCUCCCCGCCCCUCGCCAAAGCCUUACCUGUCCUCUCUGGGUCUCAGCAGGAGUAUCACUUUUAUGUUGUUUCUACCUUGUCUCUUGCUGGUGUGAUCUUACAUAUUUCAGAUCUGCUUUGGAAAAAUAUGUCACUGAGGAGAAAUAAAAUUUUCUUUUCCCUGGUCA
rnacentral:lncRNA from 1 species